UCGAGCGGAACGAGUUGUCUGAACCUUCGGGGGACGAUAACGGCGUCGAGCGGCGGACGGGUGAGUAAUGCCUAGGAAAUUGCCCUGAUGUGGGGGAUAACCAUUGGAAACGAUGGCUAAUACCGCAUGAUGCCUACGGGCCAAAGAGGGGGACCUUCGGGCCUCUCGCGUCAGGAUAUGCCUAGGUGGGAUUAGCUAGUUGGUGAGGUAAGGGCUCACCAAGGCGACGAUCCCUAGCUGGUCUGAGAGGAUGAUCAGCCACACUGGAACUGAGACACGGUCCAGACUCCUACGGGAGGCAGCAGUGGGGAAUAUUGCACAAUGGGCGCAAGCCUGAUGCAGCCAUGCCGCGUGUGUGAAGAAGGCCUUCGGGUUGUAAAGCACUUUCAGUCGUGAGGAAGGCGGUGUAGUUAAUAGCUGCAUUAUUUGACGUUAGCGACAGAAGAAGCACCGGCUAACUCCGUGCCAGCAGCCGCGGUAAUACGGAGGGUGCGAGCGUUAAUCGGAAUUACUGGGCGUAAAGCGCAUGCAGGUGGUUUGUUAAGUCAGAUGUGAAAGCCCGGGGCUCAACCUCGGAAUUGCAUUUGAAACUGGCAGACUAGAGUACUGUAGAGGGGGGUAGAAUUUCAGGUGUAGCGGUGAAAUGCGUAGAGAUCUGAAGGAAUACCGGUGGCGAAGGCGGCCCCCUGGACAGAUACUGACACUCAGAUGCGAAAGCGUGGGGAGCAAACAGGAUUAGAUACCCUGGUAGUCCACGCCGUAAACGAUGUCUACUUGGAGGUUGUGGCCUUGAGCCGUGGCUUUCGGAGCUAACGCGUUAAGUAGACCGCCUGGGGAGUACGGUCGCAAGAUUAAAACUCAAAUGAAUUGACGGGGGCCCGCACAAGCGGUGGAGCAUGUGGUUUAAUUCGAUGCAACGCGAAGAACCUUACCUACUCUUGACAUCCAGAGAACUUUCCAGAGAUGGAUUGGUGCCUUCGGGAACUCUGAGACAGGUGCUGCAUGGCUGUCGUCAGCUCGUGUUGUGAAAUGUUGGGUUAAGUCCCGCAACGAGCGCAACCCUUAUCCUUGUUUGCCAGCGAGUAAUGUCGGGAACUCCAGGGAGACUGCCGGUGAUAAACCGGAGGAAGGUGGGGACGACGUCAAGUCAUCAUGGCCCUUACGAGUAGGGCUACACACGUGCUACAAUGGCGCAUACAGAGGGCGGCCAACUUGCGAAAGUGAGCGAAUCCCAAAAAGUGCGUCGUAGUCCGGAUUGGAGUCUGCAACUCGACUCCAUGAAGUCGGAAUCGCUAGUAAUCGUGGAUCAGAAUGCCACGGUGAAUACGUUCCCGGGCCUUGUACACACCGCCCGUCACACCAUGGGAGUGGGCUGCAAAAGAAGUAGUGUAGUUUAACCUUCGGGGG
rnacentral:rRNA from 1 species